rnacentral:lncRNA from 1 species
UGAAUCAAGUUGGAGACAGAAGAAGAGAACGAUUCAGAGGGCUCCACGAGGACCGGCGUCUCCUGACUUGAUCAUGCCCUCUAGAACAGUAUGUGACCAGGAGAGCUGGAUGCAAAGUCACUAAGAGAUUACCUGCACCCACCUCCAGAGAUUGUGCCCGACACCCUGCACUGGCAGGCAUCGGCCCAGGGGUCCAGAGGGUGAGUGGCCUGCAAGAUUCACAAGAGCAGAGGCAGACAGAGACAACUACAGAGGGAGUGCUCCUGGAGCUGACAAGAACGCUGAGGCUAGGGACUGGCUCAGCAGCUGAGUUCCAGUUCAGAGGCAGCUUUGGUUGUGGACAUGGUCAGCCACCUCAGGGAAGUUGGAG